rnacentral:rRNA from 1 species
UACGGAGGAGGCAAGCGUUUAUCCGGAAUUAUUGGGCGUAAAGCGUCCGCAGGUGGCACCUCAAGUCUGCUGUCAAAGACCGGGGCUUAACCCCAGAAAGGCAGUGGAAACUGAAGUGCUAGAGUGCAGUAGGGGUAGAGGGAAUUCCCGGUGUAGCGGUGAAAUGCGUAGAGAUCAGGAAGAACACCGGUGGCGAAAGCGCUCUGCUGGACCUUAACUGACACUGAGGGACGAAAGCUAGGGGAGCGAAU